UGGUGACGGAUGAGGAUGCGCUCCAUUAGGCAGUUGGCGGGGUAACGGCCCACCAAACCUACGAUGGAUAGGGGUUCUGAGAGGAAGGUCCCCCACAUUGGAACUGAGACACGGUCCAAACUCCUACGGGAGGCAGCAGUGAGGAAUAUUGGUCAAUGGACGAGAGUCUGAACCAGCCAAGUAGCGUGCAGGAUGACGGCCCUCCGGGUUGUAAACUGCUUUUAUUGGGGAAUAAAGUUAGGCACGUGUGCCUAUUUGUAUGUACCCAUAUGAAUAAGCAUCGGCUAAUUCCGUGCCAGCAGCCGCGGUAAUACGGAAGAUGCGAGCGUUAUCCGGAUUUAUUGGGUUUAAAGGGAGCGUAGGCGGGACGGUAAGUCAGCGGUCAAAUGUCCGUGCUCAACGCGGUCAUGCCGUUGAAACUGUCGUUCUUGAGUGCAUGCGGGGAAAGUGGAAUUCGUGGUGUAGCGGUGAAAUGCUUAGAUAUCACGAAGAACUCCGAUAGCGAAGGCAUCUUUCCGGCCUGCAACUGACGCUGAGGCUCGAAAGUGCGGGGAUCAAACAGGAUUAGAUACCCUGGUAGUCCGCACCGUAAACGAUGAAUGCUCGUUUUUGGCGAUAUAAUGUCAGAGACCAAGCGAAAGCGUUAAGCAUUCCACCUGGGGAGUACGCCGGCAACGGUGCAACUCAAAUGAAUUGACGGA
rnacentral:rRNA from 1 species